AAUUACAGCAGCAGCAACAAUUACAGCAGAGGCACCCCCAUCAAGAAAUAAAACAACAGCAGUUAUCUAAUCAUCAGCAAAUCCCUCAUACUACUUCUCAAUCUCAAUCAUCGCCCUUGCACGCAAUAACAUCGUUUAGCCAGCAAAACGGUCACGACACAAAUAAUAGUCAAGUGACCACAGCUGUUCUGUCUCCCUUGCAUAGUAUCUUGGGUUCUUAUUCUCCCGAAGAAUCGU
rnacentral:misc_RNA from 1 species